AGAAGUAAAGAAUUGGUAAAUCUAUGGGUGCAGGGUUCAAGGUAGCCAUUUUGGUGUUGUAACAGGGCUUUGGGUUUUUUUAUUGGGCUUGAUAGAGUUUAAUAUGCUGUUAUUAAAGGGGUUGUCAUCCCCCAUUUAAAAUUUUUUUGAGUGAUAGUUUUACAUAU